rnacentral:rRNA from 1 species
GUUGUAGUCUGGAGAAGUGCUUUCUGUGCCGGACCGUGUAUAAGUCUCUUGGAACAGAGCGUCGCAGAGGGUGAGAAUCCCGUCUUUGACACGGACUACCGGUGCUUUGUGAUGCGCUCUCAAAGAGUCGAGUUGUUUGGGAAUGCAGCUCAAAAUGGGUGGUAAAUUCCAUCUAAAGCUAAAUAUUGGCGAGAGACCGAUAGCGAACAAGUACCGUGAGGGAAAGAUGAAAAGCACUUUGGAAAGAGAGUUAAACAGUACGUGAAAUUGCUGAAAGGGAAACGCUUGAAGUCAGUCGUGUCUGCCGGAACUCAGCCUUGCUCCCGCUUGGUGCACUUUCCGGUUGGACGGGCCAGCAUCGAUUUCGACCGUCGGAGAAGGGCUGGAGAAAUGUGGCACCUCUUUUGGUGUGUUAUAGUCUUUGGUCGCAUACGUCGGUCGGGAUCGAGGAACGCAGCGUGCCGCAAGGCAGGAGGGUAAAACCUCACUUUCGCGCUUAGGAUGCUGGCAUAAUGGCUUUAAACGACCCGUCUUGAAACACGGACCAAGGAGUCUAACAUACCUGCGAGUGUUUGGGUGGAAAACCCGAGCGCGAAAUGAAAGUGAAAGUUGAGACCUCUGUCGUGGAGGGCAUCGACGCCCGGACCUGACGUUCUCUGACGGCUCCGCGGUAGAGCAUGUAUGUUGGGACCCGAAAGAUGGUGAACUAUGCCUGAAUAGGGUGAAGCCAGAGGAAACUCUGGUG